rnacentral:rRNA from 1 species
AUUGAACGCUGGCGGCAGGCCUAACACAUGCAAGUCGAGCGCGAAAGUCUUCGGAUGAGUAAAGCGGCGGACGGGUGAGUAAUGCAUGGGAAUCUGCCUGGUAGUGGGGGACAACGUUUCGAAAGAGACGCUAAUACCGCAUACGCCCUACGGGGGAAAGGGGGGGAUCUUCGGACCUCUCGCUAUCAGAUGAGCCCAUGGCAGAUUAGCUAGUUGGUAGGGUAAAGGCCUACCAAGGCGACGAUCUGUAACUGGUCUGAGAGGAUGAUCAGUCACACUGGAACUGAGACACGGUCCAGACUCCUACGGGAGGCAGCAGUGGGGAAUAUUGGACAAUGGGGGCAACCCUGAUCCAGCCAUGCCGCGUGUGUGAAGAAGGCCCUAGGGUUGUAAAGCACUUUCAGUGGGGAGAAAGGUAAUUCACCUAAUACGUGAGUUAAUUGAUGCUACCCACAGAAGAAGCACCGGCUAACUCCGUGCCAGCAGCCGCCGCCG